GACGAACGCUGGCGGCGUGCCUAAUACAUGCAAGUAGAACGCUGAAGAGAGGAGCUUGCUCUUCUUGGAUGAGUUGCGAACGGGUGAGUAACGCGUAGGUAACCUGCCUGGUAGCGGGGGAUAACUAUUGGAAACGAUAGCUAAUACCGCAUGAAAUGGAUUAUCGCAUGAUAAUUCAUUGAAAGGUGCAAAUGCAUCACUACCAGAUGGGCCUGCGUUGUAUUAGCUAGUUGGUGGGGUAACGGCUCACCAAGGCGACGAUACAUAGCCGACCUGAGAGGGUGAUCGGCCACACUGGGACUGAGACACGGCCCAGACUCCUACGGGAGGCAGCAGUAGGGAAUCUUCGGCAAUGGACGGAAGUCUGACCGAGCAACGCCGCGUGAGUGAAGAAGGUUUUCGGAUCGUAAAGCUCUGUUGUAAGAGAAGAACGAGUGUGAGAGUGGAAAGUUCACACUGUGACGGUAUCUACCAGAAAG
rnacentral:rRNA from 1 species